AGCUGAGGCUGCAAUGAGCUGAAUCUUGCCACUGCACACCCACCUGGGUGAUAGAGACCCUGUCUCAAAAAAAGGGGGGAAGGCAGGUGUCUUUGGAUUCAAAACUGGAGUACAAAAAGUUAAUAAUAGACAAUUUACUUCUUCACGGCAUUAGAAUGUGUUGUUUACUAACUUUUCUCUUGUCUCUACACAAAGCUACUUCUCCUUCUGCUGUUUCUUUGUUCCCAGCCAUUACUGGCCCAGAGUGGCACCCACAGCAAUGAACUGCAAUCUUGCCACUGCACUCCAGCCUGGAUGAUAGAGACCCUGUCUCAAAAAAAAGUGGGGAAGGAAGGUGUCUUUGAAUUCAAAACUGGAGUACAACUAGUUAAUAAUAGACAAUUUAUUUCUUCACUGCACUAGAAUGUGUUGUUUACUAACUUUUCUCUUGUCUCUACACAAAGCCACUUCUCCUUCUGCUGUGUCUUUGUUCCCAGCAGUUACUGGCCCAGAGUGGCACCCACAGCAGAUACCCUGGACAGUGACUGAACUGUUCUGAAAAAUCCAAGUAUGAAUUAUCUGUCAAACAGUACUCCUUCUUCCUGGGAAUAUGUGCUACGUGUAAAUCAAAAUCUCACCCAAAAACAUCUAACACCUAUGAGGACUGUAAAAUCCAUGAAAAAAAAAUGAUAUGCACAUUUCUAAAUGUGCUCCAGGCCAAAAUCUCAACGUUAAAUGGUGAAGCUGAGUUACAAACCAUCCUUGCACAAUUUCAAAAAGUUCCUGAUUAUGGUUCCUUCAUAAGAGGUUCCUCUCUUCAGCUCUUCCCUUCUGAAAAAAGAAAGCCAACUUUCAAAUAUACACCCCAGCCCGCCCCGGCACACACAGAAAUGGGGACUGUGAGCAGAAGCAACAUCGCGCGCCAUCUGCAAACCAACCUCAUUCUAUUUUGUGUCGGUGCUGUGGGCACCUGUACUGUUUCUGUCACACAACCAUGGUACCUAGAAGUGGACUACACUCACGAGGCCGUCACCAUAAAGUGUACCUUCUCCGCAACCGGAUGCCCUUCUGAGCAACCAACACGCCUGUGGUUUCGCUACGGGACUCAACAGCCUGAGAACCUGUGCUUGGACGGGUGCAAAAGUGAGGCAGACAAGUUCACAGUGAGGGAAGCCUUCAUGGAAAACCAAGUUUCCCUCACUGUAAACAGAGUGACUGCAAACGACAGUGCAAUUUACAUCUGUGGAAUAGCAUUCCCCAGUGUGCCGGAAGCGAGAGCUAAGCAGACGGGAGGAGGGACCACACUGGUGGUAAGAGAAAUUAAGCUGCUCAGCAAGGAACUGUGGAGCUUCCUGACAGCUCUUGUAUCACUGCUCUCUGUCUAUGUGACCGGUGUAGGCGUGGCCUUCAUACUCCUCUCCAAAGGAACACCACCUGCAGAAACCACCACCUGCAGAAGAGGUCUUUCGAAGAAGGCAUCAUACAUUCUCAUCACUGAAAUUAUUAGCCAGAGGACACAAUUUGCAGUGUUUUCUCUUUAAAGCCCAGUAACAUGGGAUUAAGAAGAGAGCCAUCCACUAUGCUAUCUUUCUGCUAUAGGGGUGAGGUGUGGGCAGGUGGGGGGUAAGAUAUUACUGUUAUCUACGAAAGCUUUAAGAACAGUCUUGAAGAACAAAAAUGGGUUGAUGAAGAGACUAAAAGCCGCCUUAAAAUCUUCAAAAAGGGCUAACGUUAUUGAGAAAGAAAACCUUUUGGCUAUGCGUAUAAGAAGGGAGAUAUAUACCAUUAUGUUAGGAUUACUAUAAAUCCUACAAUCAACAUCAGUUUGUUCAAUUAGUUUUUAAUGGCAUAAAAGCAUCUCGGAAGUGAUGUAAAAAUUAUUAACUCUUAUUGUAUAUCAUUUAAAUAUUAAGUUAGUUUAAUCUUAUUAGGGCAUGUGAUACCUGCCGCCAUUGUUAUGAGUACAUACAAUGUUUCACAGACUUUCCUUCUCUUCUUGGCAGUCAAAAUCCAAACCUCUAAGAAACAAAGAAAUAAAAGAAGACUCACAAAAGGUACAGACCAACACUUGCAAAAUAUUUUUUAAAUUGUGGCUGGUUGUAACUAUUUCAAAACUGAAAUAUUUUUAGUUUUUAAAUAUUUAAAUGUUAAGUUUAAACAGAGUAUCAAGGUAAUUUUCAACCAUAGAUACUGUUUCCUAUUGUUGAGAAACUCAAUGACAAAAUAAUCUCAAGGGGUAAACUGUGACUUAAAUUGGACAGUUCUCAACCAUAAAUUCCAUUUAAAGUUCUCAAAUACAAAAGAGUUAACGGUAGGCAUAGAUGUGUUGGGGGAGGCAGUAGUUUUUGAGACCGGUGGCAAUAAAGCAAGAAAAGUUCUGAUGAUGUGUAGUUAUCAUCGCUUAUAUUCCCAAAGGACAGAUUUUUUUUUCUCGUUUGUCUUUAUAGAAGAGUGUUCGGCGUAUUUUUCAGGAAAUUGCUCAAGAACUAUACCAUAAGAGACAUGUGGAAACAAACCAACGAUCUGAGAAAGACAACACCACUUAUG